rnacentral:rRNA from 1 species
AGGGCUAGCCUCAAGUGAUGAUUAUUGGAGGUAGAGCACUGUUUGGACGAGGGGCCCCUCUCGGGUUACCGAAUUCAGACAAACUCCGAAUGCCAAUUAAUUUAACUUGGGAGUCAGAACAUGGGUGAUAAGGUCCGUGUUCGAAAGGGAAACAGCCCAGACCACCAGCUAAGGUCCCAAAAUAUAUGUUAAGUGGAAAAGGAUGUGGCGUUGCCCAGACAACUAGGAUGUUGGCUUAGAAGCAGCCAUCAUUUAAAGAGUGCGUAAUAGCUCACUAGUCGAGUGACACUGCGCCGAAAAUGUACCGGGGCUAAACAUAUUACCGAAGCUGUGGAUUGUCCUUUGGACAAUGGUAGGAGAGCGUUCUAAGGGCGUUGAAGCAUGAUCGCAAGGACAUGUGGAGCGCUUAGAAGUGAGAAUGCCGGUGUGAGUAGCGAAAGACGGGUGAGAAUCCCGUCCACCGAUUGACUAAGGUUUCCAGAGGAAGGCUCGUCCGCUCUGGGUUAGUCGGGUCCUAAGCUGAGGCCGACAGGCGUAGGCGAUGGAUAACAGGUUGAUAUUCCUGUACCACCUAGUAUCGUUUUAAUCGAUGGGGGGACGCAGUAGGAUAGGCGAAGCGUACGAUUGGAUUGUACGUCUAAGCAGUGAGACUGAGUGUUAGGCAAAUCCGGCACUCAUAAGGUCAAGCUGUGAUGGGGAGAGGAAAUUGUUUCCUCGAGUCGUUGAUUUCACACUGCCAAGAAAAGCCUCUAGAUAGAUAACAGGUGCCCGUACCGCAAACCGACACAGGUAGUCAAGAUGAGAAUUCUAAGGUGAGCGAGCGAACUCUCGUUAAGGAACUCGGCAAAAUGACCCCGUAACUUCGGGAGAAGGGGUGCUCUUUAGGGUGCAAGCCCAGAAGAGCCGCAGUGAAUAGGCCCAAGCGACUGUUUAUCAAAAACACAGGUCUCUGCUAAACCGUAAGGUGAUGUAUAGGGGCUGACGCCUGCCCGGUGCUGGAAGGUUAAGAGGAGUGGUUAGCUUCUGCGAAGCUACGAAUCGAAGCCCCAGUAAACGGCGGCCGUAACUAUAACGGUCCUAAGGUAGCGAAAUUCCUUGUCGGGUAAGUUCCGACCCGCACGAAAGGCGUAACGAUUUGGGCACUGUCUCAACGAGAGACUCGGUGAAAUCAUAGUACCUGUGAAGAUGCAGGUUACCUGCGACAGGACGGAAAGACCCCGUGGAGCUUUACUGUAGCCUGAUAUUGAAAUUCGGCACAGCUUGUACAGGAUAGGUAGGAGCCAUUGAAACGUGAGCGCUAGCUUACGUGGAGGCGCUGGUGGGAUACUACCCUAGCUGUGUUGGCUUUCUAACCCGCACCACUUAUCGUGGUGGGAGACAGUGUCAGGCGGGCAGUUUGACUGGGGCGGUCGCCUCCUAAAAGGUAACGGAGGCGCUCAAAGGUUCCCUCAGAAUGGUUGGAAAUCAUUCAUAGAGUGUAAAGGCAUAAGGGAGCUUGACUGCGAGACCUACAAGUCGAGCAGGGUCGAAAGACGGACUUAGUGAUCCGGUGGUUCCGCAUGGAAGGGCCAUCGCUCAACGGAUAAAAGCUACCCCGGGGAUAACAGGCUUAUCUCCCCCAAGAGUUCACAUCGACGGGGAGGUUUGGCACCUCGAUGUCGGCUCAUCGCAUCCUGGGGCUGUAGUCGGUCCCAAGGGUUGGGCUGUUCGCCCAUUAAAGCGGUACGCGAGCUGGGUUCAGAACGUCGUGAGACAGUUCGGUCCCUAUCCGUCGUGGGCGUAGGAAAUUUGAGAGGAGCUGUCCUUAGUACGAGAGGACCGGGAUGGACAUACCUCUGGUGUACCAGUUGUCGUGCCAACGGCAUAGCUGGGUAGCUAUGUAUGGACGGGAUAAGUGCUGAAAGCAUCUAAGCAUGAAGCCCCCCUCAAGAUGAGAUUUCCCAACUUCGGUUAUAAGAUCCCUCAAAGAUGAUGAGGUUAAUAGGUUCGAGGUGGAAGCGUGGCGACACGUGGAGCUGACGAAUACUAAUCGAUCGAAGACUUAAUCAAA